rfam:Otolemur garnettii contig116520, whole genome shotgun sequence.
CUGCAAUGAUGUACAAAUGUCUUCACCUGAAAUCACUGUGGAGAGUAAAAUCGAGCUUUUUAACACUGAGUCACA